GUUGACAUGUUGACUUGUUGACAUGUUGACCUGUUGACCCUCCAUUCCAUUUGGUUUAAGGAACCAGUUCCCCCGUUAAACUGCCAGAAACCCCUUGGUUUAGGUCAGAUAGGGUUACCAAGAUGACUCGCUAUUUUCCAGAAUAAUGAGCAAGUUGUUUUUUUUCUAGAAUUUCUCAUUGCGUUCUGUUAACCGAGAUGUGGAUGUGAACUCCUGCUGGUUCACAUCCAGUGCCUGCUGAACCAGCAGGAGGUUAAGUUGAGGCCUGUACCAUCUCCCUACACCUACCCAGCCUCCUCUCCAUGGCGUGUCUUCUAUAACGUGAAAAUUUUCUGUAAGGGGUGAUGUGUCUGGGUCUUGGUUUUGAUAUCAUCUGGUUCUGGUUCUGGUUGCAGAGGGACCUUGUGGAGGAAGUUGAUGAUGGUCCAAACAGUUCGACCCCAGAUGCCUGGAGGAGACACCUGGACCAACGGCUGACUGCAGGGGGUGCCGCUGAGCCUGAUGGGUACCUGCAGGUGGCAGCGUUGGCCAGAAAGUGUCUGAACAGGCAGAGGAAGAAGAGACCGGCAAUGACUGAGGUCAGAAACCUGAAAAAAACAACAUGGAGGACAAGUUCUAGUUCAAGUUCUCAUCCUAAACUAGAACAAACUAAUCAGUGUAGAUCUCUACACUGAUCUCUGAGUCUGCAGGACUCAGGUCUGGACUCUCCCAGGUUCAGGUCUAGACUCUACCAAGUCUAGACUCUACCAGGUUCAGGUCUAGACUCUACCAGGUCUAGACUCUACCAGGUUUAGACUCUACCAGAUUCAGGUCUGGACUCUACCAGGUCUGGACUCUACCAGGUUCAGGUCUAGACUCUACCAGGUUCAGGCCUAGACUCUACCAGGUCUAGACUCUACCAGGUUCAGGUCUAGACUCUACCAGGUCUAGACUCUAC